GAAAUGCGAUAAUUAAUGUGAAUUGCAGAAUUCAGUGAAUCAUCGAGUCUUUGAACGCACAUUGCGCCCCCUGGUAUUCCGGGGGGCAUGCCUGUCCGAGCGUCAUUGCUGCCCUCAAGCACGGCUUGUGUGUUGGGCUUCCGUCCCUGGCAACGGGGACGGGCCCAAAAGGCAGUGGCGGCACCAUGUCUGGUCCUCGAGCGUAUGGGGCUUUGUCACCCGCUCCCGUAGGUCCAGCUGGCAGCUAGCCUCGCAACCAAUCUUUUUAACCAGGAUGACCUCGGAUCAGGUAGGGAUACCCGCUGAACUUAAGC
rnacentral:misc_RNA from 1 species